GACGAACGCUGGCGGCGUGCUUAACACAUGCAAGUCGAACGGAAAGGCCCUGCUUUUGUGGGGUGCUCGAGUGGCGAACGGGUGAGUAACACGUGAGUAACCUGCCCUUGACUUUGGGAUAACUUCAGGAAACUGGGGCUAAUACCGGAUAGGAGCUCCUGCUGCAUGGUGGGGGUUGGAAAGUUUCGGCGGUUGGGGAUGGACUCGCGGCUUAUCAGCUUGUUGGUGGGGUAGUGGCUUACCAAGGCUUUGACGGGUAGCCGGCCUGAGAGGGUGACCGGCCACAUUGGGACUGAGAUACGGCCCAGACUCCUACGGGGGGCAGCAGUGGGGAAUAUUGCACAAUGGGCGGAAGCCUGAUGCAGCAACGCCGCGUGCGGGAUGACGGCCUUCGGGUUGUAAACCGCUUUCGCCUGUGACGAAGCGUGAGUGACGGUAAUGGGUAAAGAAGCACCGGCUAACUACGUGCCAGCAGCCGCGGUGAUACGUAGGGUGCGAGCGUUGUCCGGAUUUAUUGGGCGUAAAGGGCUCGUAGGUGGUUGAUCGCGUCGGAAGUGUAAUCUUGGGGCUUAACCCUGAGCGUGCUUUCGAUACGGGUUGACUUGAGGAAGGUAGGGGAGAAUGGAAUUCCUGGUGGAGCGGUGGAAUGCGCAGAUAUCAGGAGGAACACCAGUGGCGAAGGCGGUUCUCUGGGCCUUUCCUGACGCUGAGGAGCGAAAGCGUGGGGAGCGAACAGGCUUAGAUACCCUGGUAGUCCACGCUGUAAACGGUGGGUACUAGGUGUGGGGUCCAUUCCACGGGUUCCGUGCCGUAGCUAACGCUUUAAGUACCCCGCCUGGGGAGUACGGCCGCAAGGCUAAAACUCAAAGGAAUUGACGGGGCCCCGCACAAGCGGCGGAGCAUGCGGAUUAAUUCGAUGCAACGCGUAGAACCUUACCUGGGUUUGACAUGGAUCGGGAGCGCUCAGAGAUGGGUGUGCCUCUUUUGGGGUCGGUUCACAGGUGGUGCAUGGCUGUCGUCAGCUCGUGUCGUGAGAUGUUGGGUUAAGUCCCGCAACGAGCGCAACCCUUGUUCACUGUUGCCAGCACGUUAUGGUGGGGACUCAGUGGAGACCGCCGGGGUCAACUCGGAGGAAGGUGGGGAUGACGUCAAGUCAUCAUGCCCCUUAUGUCCAGGGCUUCACGCAUGCUACAAUGGCUGGUACAGAGAGUGGCGAGCCUGUGAGGGUGAGCGAAUCUCGGAAAGCCGGUCUCAGUUCGGAUUGGGGUCUGCAACUCGACCUCAUGAAGUCGGAGUCGCUAGUAAUCGCAGAUCAGCAACGCUGCGGUGAAUACGUUCCCGGGGCU
rnacentral:rRNA from 1 species